rnacentral:lncRNA from 1 species
AUGAUCUCUGGCCUCGUUCAGUGGGUUAAGGAUCCAGCAUUGCCAUGAGCUGUGGUGAAGGUCCCAGACGCAGCUCAGAUCUGGUGUGGCUGUGGCUGUGGUGUAGGCUGGCAGCUACAGCUCCGAUUAGACCCCUAGCCUGGGAACUUCCAUAUACCACAAGUGCAACCCUAAAAAAACAAAAUAAAAUAAACAAACAAAAAAACCUAACAGGUCAAAAACAAGACUGUCGAUUUUCUCUCUCACAAAUCUGAUCUAAUAUUCUUCUCUAUUUUAGGGGAAGGAAAUUGUAUCCUUCCUGAUUCCCUGGCUUUAAGACCCACAUGCUGCUGAAAUCUUGGAACUCUUCACCUUUGACAUUUUUGGCAGUCUGUUUGGCCUAGAAUGAUAUCAUUUUAUUUUAACUUUAUUUUUCUGACUACUUAUGAUUUUGAGCCCAUGUAUGAGCUGUCUUUGGUUCUCAUAUGUGUAUUGCCUAAUCAUUUCCUUAGCCCAUUUAUUUGUCUCUUGGGGUAUUCCUAUUUUUGUCCUGUACCAUUUUGUGUUAUGAUGUAGAGCUCAGCGCCUGAUCUCAGGGUGCACUAUUUUAAGUUUCUAAAGGACAAGAUUGUGGAAUUUACUAUGAAAACCAACAUUAAUUAUUUGGGGGAACAGAAAGGCAUCUUCAUUGUUUCCACUUACAUUAAAUCUUUAGUGGCCCAACUUCCCAAUUAUCCAAGACCAUCUGAGCCGUGUGCCAAAGGAGGUGCCUAUUUCCCACUUCUUAGCAUUUUUCUUAGAAUGUGAGUCAAGCAGACGGCUUUCAGACGUCCUGCUGACUGGGAUUCUGGCUCGUUCUCAUGUCCCAUUUCCUGCUCUUCUCCUGUUCUGAUUUCUAAGCAGGUGUCAACCCCAAAUCAGAAUAAUUAUAUGGAUCACAGAACUAAUGUCCUCAAUUCUGCUUUGUGACACUUGAAAUGGAAUAUUCUCGACUAAUAGUUUGAUGAGAAAAACAUCUGUUGGGUUUACAUUCCUACUGAUGCUGAAUGACUUGAAAACUUCUCUUGCAGCUUGUUGUCUGGAUUCUUAGGGGAUUAUCUUGGGAAUCACCUUCUAGCAUAGAUCCUUGCGCUCCACCUGGUAUAUGCUCAGAGGCAGUGUUUGCUGUCUCUCAACACAUAGUAUCUAAAUGCUGCCAAACCUCAGGACUCAAGAAAACAUCUGGAGGGCUUGGUGGGUUCUUAAGCAGUCAAUCAGAUGAGUUAAGUGUGAGAAAAAGAAUGGGUACAUGUAUGUGUGUGACUGGGUCACUUUGCUGUAUAGUAGAAAUUGACAGAACACUGUUAACUAACUAU